CAUCCAGGCCUGGGAUUUCUCAGCAGUGAGAAAGGACCCAUCUUAGAGGAGAGAUGAAAUCUCACCUAAGAGAAAACGUCCAAGAAUGAGGGUCAGUGAAAACACUGAAUGCCUCCAUCCUCAAAGGCAGCAUAGGGGAUCAUCAAGAAUAAGAGGAGGGUUUCUGUCUGUGCCCUGGAGCUGACCCUGUGCCACAGCACUCCAUACCCAAAUUCCACUGGAAAAGAGGUGGUCUCCGAGGAGUGCUAACACACAGGCUUACAGGAGGGACAAGCCACAGUCAGAGACAGCAAGACCAGCUGACAAGAGAUAACAAGAUGGCGAGAGGCAAGUGCAAGAACAUAAGCAACAGAAACCAAGGCUGCUUAGCAUCAUCAGAACCCAGUUUUCCCACCACAGCAAGCCCCGGAUACCCAACACACCAGAAAAGCAAGACUAUGAUUUAAAAUCACAUCUCAUGAUGAUAAUAGAGGAUGUUAAGAAAGACAAAAUAUCUCCCUUAAAGAAAUACAGGAGAACACAGGUAAACAGUUAGAAGCCCUUAAAGAAAAAACACAAAAUUCCCUUAAAGAAUUACAGGAAAACACAAUCAAACGGGUGAAGGAAUUGAACAAAACCAUCCAGGAUCUAAAAAUGGAAAUAGAAACAAUAGAGAA
rnacentral:lncRNA from 1 species